rnacentral:ncRNA from 1 species
GUAGCGGGAGAGAUUACCGGUCAGACCCGCUUGACUGGUAACGCCGAAGGAGUAAGCCGCUUGCUUGCGGUGAAUCUCUCAGGCAAAAGGACC